rnacentral:tRNA from 133 species
GGGCCCUUAGCUCAGUCGGUAGAGCAACUGACUUUUAAUCAGUAGGUCGCUGGUUCGAAUCCAGCAGGGCUCACCA